GUGUCAGCCGCCGCGGUAAUACGUAGGGUGCGAGCGUUGUCCGGAAUUAUUGGGCGUAAAGAGCUCGUAGGCGGUUUGUCGCGUCGACUGUGAAAACCUACAGCUUAACUGUGGGCUUGCAGUCGAUACGGGCAGACUUGAGUUCGGUAGGGGAGACUGGAAUUCCUGGUGUAGCGGUGAAAUGCGCAGAUAUCAGGAGGAACACCGGUGGCGAAGGCGGGUCUCUGGGCCGAUACUGACGCUGAGGAGCGAAAGCGUGGGGAGCGAACAGGAUUAGAAACCCUCGUAGUCC
rnacentral:rRNA from 1 species